CCGGGGGAAGUAUGGUUGCAAAGCUGAAACUUAAAGGAAUUGACGGAAGGGCACCACCAGGAGUGGAGCCUGCGGCUUAAUUUGACUCAACACGGGAAAACUCACCCGGCCCGGACACCGUAAGGAUUGACAGAUUGAAAGCUCUUUCUUGAUUCGGUGGUUGGUGGUGCAUGGCCGUUCUUAGUUGGUGGAGCGAUUUGUCUGGUUUAUUCCGAUAACGAACGAAACUCUGGCCUACUAAAUAGAGACAGGAUUAUUACUGUCCUGGAUUCUUCUUAGAGGGACAAGUGGUUUUCAGCCACACGAAAUUGAGCAAUAACAGGUCUGUGAUGCCCUUAUAUGUCCGGGGCUGCACGCGCGCUACACUGAAGGAAUCAGCGUGCUAACACCAUUGUCGAAAGGCAUUGGUAAACCCCUCAAAAUCCUACGUGAUUGGGAUCGGGAAUUGCAAUUAUUUCCCUUGAACGAGGAAUUCCCAGUAAGUGUGGGUCAUAAGCUCGCGUUGAUUAC
rnacentral:rRNA from 1 species